UCACACAGAGCCUGAAAGCUCCUUAGACAAGCAUUUCCCAAAAUCACGCAGUCAGAUCCAGGUUUCUUUUAGCAGAGGUGAGGAGCAGAGCACUCUGUCUUCCAGAGAAGGAUUGCAGCACAACUACCUGUGCAGGCUAUAAAAAGCCGCUGCGCUCCAUGUGGGGGAAGACAGCCCAGCUUUCCAAUCACUUCUCCACAUUGUGCCCCUGGUUCUAUCACCCAGCUUUGUCCUGGACCUGGUCCGGGUGCACUGUGCUGGAGGGAGACCUGGCCCAGUCCAACAGCACGGCUUCUUCAGAGGACCUUUCUGGUCUACCUGAUUCAACACAGCUUGAUCAUUUGCAACCCGAUUUUGCAGUUCAUCUCUUUGUAUUCAUAUGUAUUCUGACUCCUCAUUUACCCUAUAAGAUCAUCUGAGGGGUAGAAACCUGGCCAUCUUCCUUGUUCUUUCCUAUCCUGGAAGGUCCAUGUGAUUUUUGACAAUGAAUAUAAUUUCUAUUUUACCUUGGAAUGAGUUUUUGCAUUUGAUUAUCAGCAGGUUCGAUGUUUAGGGAUUUCUACUCACCGUGAAAUCUAGUGCCAAACCUAGCAGGAAUUGUGUCCUUUUAACAUGCGACUAAAUUCCAAUGAGCCCAAGCCAGGAAGACCUGAUUUGCAGGGGCCGGGGAGGGUGCUCACUUCUCCACUUCUGCAUGAAGCCACCUCCAGUCUGGAAAGAAGCAACUCUUCCAUUAUCU
rnacentral:lncRNA from 1 species